GACGUAGGGGGCCAGCGUUGUUCGGAAUUACUGGGUGUAAAGGGUUCGUAGGCGGUGCGGCAAGUCGGGUGUGAAAUCUCUGGGCUCAACCCAGAGGCUGCUUCCGAAACUGCUGUGCUUGAGUGUGGGAGAGGCGCGUGGAAUUGCAGGUGUAGCGGUGAAAUGCGUAGAUAUCUGCAGGAACACCCGUGGCGAAAGCGGCGCGCUGGACCACUACUGACGCUGAAGAACGAAAGCUAGGGGAGCAAACAGG
rnacentral:rRNA from 1 species